UACGUAGGGGGCUAGCGUUGUCCGGAAUCAUUGGGCGUAAAGAGCGCGUAGGCGGCCAGAUAAGUCCGGUGUGAAAGUCAAAGGCUCAACCUUUGAAUGCCGCUGGAAACUGUCUGGCUAGAGUCCGGAAGGGGCGAGUGGAAUUCCUGGUGUAGCGGUGAAAUGCGCAGAUAUCAGGAGGAACACCAAUGGCGAAGGCAGCUCGCUGGAACGGUACUGACGCUGAGACGCGAAAGCGUGGGGAGCGAACAGG
rnacentral:rRNA from 1 species